UAGAAUGCUCGUAGAUCUUGG
rnacentral:piRNA from 1 species